rnacentral:tRNA from 1 species
ACGCGCUUGGAGCGGUUGAACGUGGUUGGAUCGAGCCCCGCCCGCCGCGCGAGGCCGGAGGUGGACAGGCCGUGCUGCUCGGCGAGUUCGUC